UUACGUAACUUUCUUCCACUUUUGACACACAUUCCUCAAUAAGUUAUUUCAUCGUUUCGCCAAAGCAAAACGUUGAUGAUAAGACGAUACAAAAUGUGCAACUGAUUACAAAAAGGGAACAAUGAUUGAUAGAUGAAUAAUAUAAUUUGGAAUGUAGUUUGGUUUUGCGGCUAUGGAUAGUACAUGAAGGCAAGUGCCAAAGAAGUAGGCGUAAUUUCGGCGCAAAAGAGGGCAAGAUGGAGAUAUUAGGAAACACGGAAUUAUCAAAAAGAGCGUAAAAUAGAUUAUCGAAAUCGAUAUCGAACAGAUUUGCGACAAUAAAAGGUUCAAUUACGACGACUCGUCGGAUACAUAAAAGGAAUAUACAUAAAAGGAAUGAAAAGAAACUUGUAAAAGUUUACUUAGUUUUUAUAGUUAUUUAUCGGGGGUUCAUUAAUUUUAAUGAGUUAUUGUCGUUCUUCGGUAGUAGUGAGUCAUCCAAACACGAUUAUCGGUUUACUCGAUCUCUGUCUGUUUUACGAACCGAGUAGUGCGCAUGUCACAAACUUGUUCCACGAGUUAACCUCACGUCGACUCGUGAAAAUAAAAAUAAUUUAGAAUAGAUUAUAUUCGAAUGGUUUGGCAGCUAUCAAAAAGAACACAAUUUCGAAUUUUGGCUGGUGGAGUUUGAUCUAACAAUAAAAAAAAAGAAAGAUUGGAUCGACACGAGUAAGGAGGAGAAGGGGAGUGAGAGAGACGUGACGACUCAUCUACUGCGUAUCCUGCGUGAUAAAGUUAAAGCAGAACGAUCACGGUGUGGCAGAAGACGCGCGUAAUAUGUUACGUAAUUUGUCGACUCGACCGGCCACACUGAACGCUCGUUCGUCUCAUCUCCUUUAUAACUUUUAUGUAUGUUUCGUGAAGCCACGGUUCAUUUAUUGACGAGAUGGCCGACAAUGGAUUGCGACGAUUCGUGUUACUUUCGCGAUAGAUUGGUUCGAUGUCUAACGCGUUAAACAGCAGUAAUACGAAAUGAAAAUAUACGAUAUUUUGAAGCAACGAAUUCUGUACAAGUACCGCGAGGACCUGAUCUUUUCGAUCCAGUCAAAUCAAACGCCAAUUCUGCAUACAUCGGACCUUAUAUUCCCUAAAUUAAUAUGGAAUGGUUAUCCUAUACUCUAAUUAGGUUAUAUCGGCAACGAUAAUGUCAGAGGAUGGAUGCUGAAGCAAUGGGACACGCGAACGCGCGCGUAAUGUUUACUCAUACAGUGAAAACAUGUAUGUUAUUCAUUAGUUCGUAUCGUAAGACCAAAGUCACGUGCGUAUCCGUUCAACGAUCAUAUCAGCUGGUAUCGAGAGAGAAAGAGAGAUGAUGUGUGUUUAAAGUAGUACAAUGAGAGAACAUAGGUAGAUAUAAAGUGCGAAAAAAAUGAUGGAUAGCAUAGCCUAUAAGAUUAUUCUAGUAUCAAAACACAUCUUAUCGGCGAUUCUAUUGCUCGAUAUUAUCGUUCGAACUAUCUACUACUCGAUCUAAUAUGUUCUCGCAACGUGAUGAGACACAGAGAUAAAUUGGCUCGUUUAUUCUUGUUUUGUAUUGUACCGAUGCGAGUCAUAUCACAUUUAAUUACAGAUCCAUAUCAAUAAAUUAGUCGAGACUUUUUAUAGUUGCACACCGAUUUUGAUAUUUGUUCGCCAUGAUUAUUUUCGAAUGUGGUUCGAGUUUUCCGUUCAGUGUAUACAGUUCAAUGUCUCUUUAAUUAGACGCGUCAAGGCUGAAUAAAUUAAACCUUCGUGGAUCGAUUCGAUCGAUCGACGGUCGGGGAAGAUUUUGUUCCGACAAUUUUUUACAACACGAAUAGAAUGGAAGUGAAGGUUUACGAAAAUGUGGAGGAUCAAAUGCAUAACGAAACCGAAUUAAUCGAGCGAUUUCUUGAAGGAAGCGAAAAUUAUCACGGAACAGAGUAUAGAGUCGAGGAAGGUUUGAGAAACGGGUGAGACCAUGCUCCGUGAAAAAAAGCCAACGAACUUGUUUGACCCGAAAGGAAGAACGCUGGCCUGGUCUGGCAUCGAUCACACCAAAUUUUUUCUCACUUUACGUUGCGUAGCUUUAUUCUCGUAUUCUGUAUUAUUGCGUUGGUCGAACCGACUGAAAGAUAGAACCCGUACUAUUUAGCAGUAGUUAGUUCGACGUAUAGUCUAUGUAUAGCCCUGCUUUAUCGUGACCAAGAUGUACAGGUAUACUUCUACGUCUACGUGGCGGUAUAGUAGCGAUAUAGUGCCUUCCGGUGUUCUUUCCCUCUUUGCUUUCGUCCAAACGAAAUACGAACGGUAUUCUUAAUACGAGUCUCUAUCGUUUAUCUCCAAAAACGAAUGCUAUACGGACAAUUGGUUGACGAUAACCAACGACCCGAAUCAUUUUUUCUACGAUACGUAGAAUCAGUGUAGGCGAGCCUUCUGUUCAUCUGCAUUGGUGCAUUCGUUCGUCUCGUUUAACACAUACCACGUCGAUUGCAGGAAAUAGUAAAUAUUUUCUUUCACGUGAGCGCGAUAAGAUUAUAAGCGUAUGGUAUUUCCUUUUCGUUCCUCGCAGCGUAUAAAGAUCCCUUCUGAUAAUGAGCCUCUCGAGCAAAUGAAACGAAGGUAAAAUUGUAGACGAAUUAUGAGAAAAUCGCUAGCGAGUUAUUAAAGUAAUACGUGUACCAAGAAGCAGCGAGUUCUGAAUUAUAGCGAAAUAUUUCAAAACGAUAUUUUACUCGUCGAUUAAUUCGGUAAUCUAGAAUUUCAGAUGUAAGAAUUGUAAGAAGACACGUUUCGCGAGAUAUACGAAAUGGCAUGACAUCGAACGAGAAUUCUUCUUUAUUUAUUUUUAAACGAAAUAACUUUAUAGAAGACGCAGAUGCAGGGUGACGUAUCGUAUUUGAUAUUUUCAAGUCCGCGUUACGAUUCUGCCUGACAGCAAUAGUAUCGUUAUCGAUAAAUUCGUAAAUAAAUGCCAGAUAUUAUCUACAGUCGAUGAAUUACAUUUAUGAAAUUGAAAUUAUGAAUUUCGAAACAUCUUGAAUCGUGAGACGAUAGAAAGAGUUAGCUUGUUGCGAUCGAUAUCAAUGAAGUACAAUAAUUCUAUGAUUCUGAAUUGUCACUCGCAUUCGCCCGAACAAGCGAGCAAAAACACCGCUUAACAUAAAUGAUAUUUAUAACGAAACGUUAAGCACGGGAUUCGUGCCAGAUGCGUAAAAGCGAUUUGGAUCCAUUUUGCUCUUGUAAACGCCGAUUUCUUCUACAUUGUCAACAAGUCGGUCACGAACGUAACAUCUUUUCGCCUUUGCAUUGCACCUGAAUAUGUCAUAAAGAAAUAUGAUUUCGCUGGCCGCAGUAAAGAUGUCCGUAUUAAAAUAGGGGGAGAAAGAAGAUAGGAAGAGUUAAAGAAACUAGGGAUUGUUCUCUGUUCAUUGGCAGAAGCGACGUGGUCCUAAUAUCGCAUACGUAUCUCGAUUACGUUGCUACUCUAUUAUAACGAUAUCUAUUCUCACUAGCUAUACAAUUCUAGCCAAGGCAACGCCAAAUUAUUGGCACCGGGUAAUCAUGUUAAACGCGUAGCAAAUGCGUAGCAAACGCUAUAGCUAUCUAGCUGCUUCUCUGAAAUCGAUCGAGUACGUUUCUCGAUUCUUUUUUCAUUUCUGUGUAUCGAUUGAAAAAAUUAACAAGGGCUUGGUAUCGAAGUAUAACAAUGGUAUGAUGAAAAUGCAGUUCGUUUGAAAGUAAAAUACGAUGAAAAACUGUUGAGAUAGGUCAAUCGACAAUACCACUAUCGCACCUAACUCGUCAUCGUUCGUAUACAUGUGACUGAACGCGCAUUUGCAUAGUUAUUUCAAGACACGAUUUCGACGCUUUUCUAACUCUAGUAUGAAUAAACAAACAUGCUGCACAACGAUAGUAGGCGUUUAUAUAGAUAUAUACGAGUAAACACGUAUGUCACGAGACAUAAACAAAAUUACCUAAACAGGGAAUUCACUUAGACGCGAAUACAUUUGGAUAAAGUCGAUUCGAUACGACGAAAUACAAUGAGACACAACGAAACAGACGACUCGAACGGAAUCGUAAAAUUUAAAAACACUUGCCCAGCCAUUGGUGUCCCUGGUUAUAUAAUAUAUGCAGUAUCGCAUCCACCUUGUUAUCUACUCGCUGUAUAAUACUGUAUGCGUGACGGGAUAAUUUAUAUUUAUAAUUUAUAGCUUAUGUUUAUGAUAGUAUUUAAGGUGAAAUUGUUAACUUGCCAUUCUAUCGCUUCUUAUUGGAUAAUGGUCACGGUAUCGAACCAGUCGAAAGUACGAACUAAUUAAUAAUGUACCAUUGGAUACGCAGGGAAGUGUAAACGUGGCGCUAGUAUAUAACUUGUCCAUAUCAGUCGAUCGAUCAAGCGCGUGAUCCUGCAAAUGAAUCAAAAAGUCGGUUGACGCAACGGGAUCGUAUUCGAAAGGUUUCAGAACUACAACCUUUAAUCGUGUAAAUGGUUUAACCGACUACGUACUAGAUCCUGCGUAAUUGGCUGCGCAUGCUUACAUGACGCAGCCUAUACCAUUUGAAAGCGGUCUCUUCGUUCAAACCUACAUUAAUUUGAACGAAAUAAAUAAUUAAAACAGA
rnacentral:lncRNA from 1 species